AGAUAUGUUGGUAGAUACUCUGGCGAGAACAUCUUUGCUUUUUUAUUAGGAAUUCUUGCGUAAUCAAUAAUAUCGAUAAUAAGAAGUCCAAGAAAACAAAAAAAUACAUAUAGAGAGAAAGAGAGAGAGAGAGAGAGAGAGAGAGAAAAGGAGAGAAAGAAGAGAGAAAAGGAAAGGAGAGAAAUAAAGUGAAGACAAAGAAAAGACGUAUACGAGCAUUCAUAUAAAAGCUAUUCGAUAAUUCAAAGUUGGUGCUAUUCGGAGAAAGAAGAACCGAAUCAUCGUAAUCACUCAAGGAAGAGUAGAAAUCUAUUUUCGUUUUUCUUUCGAAAGAUUAAACUUUCACUUUUUUCCUUUCUUCCCUUUCAGGAAAACCUUCCUAUCCUUUUUCCCCAAUUUUAUUUUCCCACGCAUACCUAUUUCCUUUACAAAUAUGAAAUACUUUCCAGUGGCACUGAUUGCAACCACCAUGAUUUUUCUUCUUUUUUUCACGAAUCUCGUUGAUCCCGUACUCUCUCAGACUGAUAAAUCUCCCAAUAUGAAAUCUUCAAAUAAUAAGACGAAACCGAAAGAACAUACUUUCAACAUCAUAACGGCGCCUGAAAAGAAAUGUCCAGAUGGUCAACGACAGGACUCAAAUGGUAUUUGCAGAACCUUCGUUCCGAUGUAACUAUUGUUGUUUGUUUCUAUUUUAUUUUUGUUUUCUCAUGAUAUUUCAAUCAAGGAAUAAUAAGUAAUGCCAUCGAAUAA